CACCGCGGUUAUACGAGAGACCCAAGUUGAUAGCCCCCGGCGUAAAGCGUGGUUAAGUUAAAACUAAAACUAAAGCCGAACACCUUCAAGGCUGUUAUACGCACCCGAAGACAAGAAGUUCACCCACGAAAGUGGCUUUAUUUAAUCUGACCCCACGAAAGCUACGGAA
rnacentral:rRNA from 2 species